GUUGACCUCGGAUCAGGUAGGGAUACCCGCUGAACUUAAGCAUAUCAAUAAGCGGAGGAAGAG
rnacentral:rRNA from 1 species